UACGGGGGGGGCAAGCGUUGUUCGGAAUUACUGGGCGUAAAGGGCUCGUAGGCGGCCAACUAAGUCGGUUGUGAAAUCCCCAGGCUUAACCUGGGAACUGCAUCCGAUACUGGAUGGCUUGAAUCCGGGAGAGGGAUGCAGAAUUCCAGGUGUAGCGGUGAAAUGCGUAGAUAUCUGGAGGAAUACCGGUGGCGAAGGCGGCAUCCUGGACCGGCAUUGACGCUGAGGAGCGAAAGCUAGGGGAGCAAACGGG
rnacentral:rRNA from 1 species